AUUGAACGCUGGCGGCAGGCCUAACACAUGCAAGUCGAGCGGAUGAAGGGAGCUUGCUCCUGGAUUCAGCGGCGGACGGGUGAGUAAUGCCUAGGAAUCUGCCUGGUAGUGGGGGAUAACGUCCGGAAACGGGCACUAAUACCGCAUACGUCCUGAGGGAGAAAGUGGGGGAUCUUCGGACCUCACGCUAUCAGAUGAGCCUAGGUCGGAUUAGCUAGUUGGUGGGGUAAAGGCCUACCAAGGCGACGAUCCGUAACUGGUCUGAGAGGAUGAUCAGUCACACUGGAACUGAGACACGGUCCAGACUCCUACGGGAGGCAGCAGUGGGGAAUAUUGGACAAUGGGCGAAAGCCUGAUCCAGCCAUGCCGCGUGUGUGAAGAAGGUCUUCGGAUUGUAAAGCACUUUAAGUUGGGAGGAAGGGCAGUAAGUUAAUACCUUGCUGUUUUGACGUUACCAACAGAAUAAGCACCGGCUAACUUCGUG
rnacentral:rRNA from 1 species